GAUGAACGCUGGCGGCGUGCCUAAUACAUGCAAGUCGAGCGAACAGGCGAGGAGCUUGCUCCUCUGACGUUAGCGGCGGACGGGUGAGUAACACGUGGAUGACCUACCUAUAAGACUGGGAUAACUUCGGGAAACCGGAGCUAAUACCGGAUAAUAUAUUGAACCGCAUGGUUCAAUAGUGAAAGACGGUUUUGCUGUCACUUAUAGAUGGAUCCGCGCCGCAUUAGCUAGUUGGUAAGGUAACGGCUUACCAAGGCAACGAUGCGUAGCCGACCUGAGAGGGUGAUCGGCCACACUGGAACUGAGACACGGUCCAGACUCCUACGGGAGGCAGCAGUAGGGAAUCUUCCGCAAUGGGCGAAAGCCUGACGGAGCAACGCCGCGUGAGUGAUGAAGGUCUUCGGAUCGUAAAACUCUGUUAUUAGGGAAGAACAAAUGUGUAAGUAACUAUGCACGUCUUGACGGUACCUAAUCAGAAAGCCACGGCUAACUACGUG
rnacentral:rRNA from 1 species